rnacentral:lncRNA from 1 species
ACUCUUGGUACUUUCAUGAGUUCUGUAUCCCUGCCAGAACAGAGUUUCCAGAGAAAACAUGGACAGCAUGAAUUGUCCUAUAGAGUUUAUGAACUAGUGUGGCACCACAAAAUGUUUUUCCUAGACUCUCAGAGUUCAUUUUGCUAAUUCAGACUGAAUCCUAGUACGCCCGAAAUUAAGAAUUGAAAAUGUACUCAAAUAAAAUAGUGGGAAUACUAGAUUCUCCCUGGAGUUUUUUCACAGCAUAGGAACUUUAUGUUUUUACUCUAAAGCUCUUUUUCUGGAUUCCAACUAAGUCCUUUUUUUUUUUUUUUUUUUUUUUUUUUUUUUUUUUUUUUUUUUUUUUUUUACAGCUAAUGGGAAGUUUGGUGUCAGUAUCUUAACAGAUGGAAUGGAUGGAGUAAAAGCUAUCACAGGAGGAAAGGUUAAUGUGAGUAAUUCGGACAGCGUUCUGGGAGAAAUGAGAAUUAAGCUCCCAGAAAAGGAACAGGAAAAACUAACAGAAAACCUGCUACUUAAUGAAGAGAUUAUUGAUGUCAAUAAAGUGGUACUCCUUUGCAAAAUAUGGGGAUGAACUUUUCAGAAAAGGAAAUUAAUGAUCUGAUACAUGAUCUACCAGUUGAUGGAAAAAAUGUUCAUGUCAGUGACCUGAAGAAAGUUCUGGGAAGCCUGAGGAUCGAGCUCACAGAUGAGGAACUGAAAAAACUACAGGAAAAUCUGCCAAUUGAUGGUGAGCUACAUAGAAGCCAAAAAGACUUUCUAGGGAACUUGGUUUUGUGGCUUGUGUGAACAAUUAAAAAUUUUUACCUGUUCAGGCCCUUCUGGAAAUUACUG